CCAGAGGGUCGGGCGGCCGCGGCUCAUGCAAAUGAGGCGAGGAAAGUCCGGGCUCCACGAAACAACGGUGCCAGCUAACCGCUGGCGGGGGCGACCCCAGGGACAGUGCAACAGAGAGCAGGUCGCGUUUGUCGCAAGACUUUGGGCCUAGGCCGCGCGAAAGUGAAAGGGUGCGGUAAGAGCGCACCGCGCCCCCGGCAACGGCGGGCGGCACGGUAAACCCCACCGGGAGCAAGACCGAAUAGGGACGGCGCGCCUCGCGAGAGGCAGGGUGUUUCGCCCGUGAUCGUCCGGGUUGGUUGCUUGAGGGAUGGAGCGAUCCAUCCCCUAGAGGAAUGGCCGCCCAUCCGCCCGAACGUCCUUUAUGGAUACGGCGGCGCGGUGGACAGAACCCGGCUUACAGACCCUCUGGCGCA
rnacentral:RNase_P_RNA from 2 species